rnacentral:rRNA from 1 species
UACGUAGGUGGCAAGCGUUAUCCGGAAUUAUUGGGCGUAAAGCGCGCGUAGGCGGUUCCUUAAGUCUGAUGUGAAAGCCCCCGGCUCAACCGGGGAGGGUCAUUGGAAACUGGGGAACUUGAGUGCAGAAGAGGAGAGUGGAAUUCCAUGUGUAGCGGUGAAAUGCGCAGAGAUAUGGAGGAACACCAGUGGCGAAGGCGGCUCUCUGGUCUGCAACUGACGCUGAUGUGCGAAAGCGUGGGGAUCAAACAGG